GGCUCGGUAGCUUAGUUGGUAAAGCACUUGUCUAGAGAAUAAGGGUCGUGAGUUCAAAUCUCACCUGAGCUG
rfam:Aedes albopictus isolate Foshan contig21351, whole genome shotgun sequence.